GUAAGUGUUUAAGGGCGCAUGGUGGAUGCCUUGGCACUGGGAGCCGAUGAAGGACGUAGGAGGCUGCGAUAAGCCUCGGGGAGCUGUCAACCGAGCGUUGAUCCGAGGAUGUCCGAAUGGGGAAACCCGGCACGAGUGAUGUCGUGUCACCCAACGCUGAAUGUAUAGGCGUUGGGGGGGAACGCGGGGAAGUGAAACAUCUCAGUACCCGUAGGAAGAGAAAACAAGUAAGUGAUUCCGUUAGUAGUGGCGAGCGAACGCGGAGGAUGGCUAAACCGUGUGCAUGUGAUACCCGGCAGGGGUUGUGUGUGCGGUGUUGUGGGGUUCAUCAGUCUUGGAUCUGCCGGUCUGGGCGACAGUGAGAAAAGAUCGUGUUAGUCGAAGUGGCCUGGGAUGGUCUGCCGUAGUGGGUGAGAGCCCCGUAGGCGAAAACAUGGUCUCUGUUGUGAUGAGUUCCCGAGUAGCAGCGGGCCCGUGAAAUCUGCUGUGAAUCUGCCGGGACCACCCGGUAAGCCUGAAUACUUCCCAGUGACCGAUAGCGGAUUAGUACCGUGAGGGAAUGGUGAAAAGUACCCCGGGAGGGGAGUGAAAGAGUACCUGAAACCGUGUGCCUACAAUCCGUCAGAGCCCUCGCUUUGCGUGGGGUGAUGGCGUGCCUUUUGAAGAAUGAGCCUGCGAGUCAGGGACAUGUCGCGAGGUUAACCCGGGUGGGGUAGCCGUAGCGAAAGCGAGUCUGAAUAGGGCGUAUCCAUCCCGUGGGGGGUGGUGUAGUGGUGUGUUCUGGACCCGAAGCGGAGUGAUCUACCCAUGGCCAGGGUGAAGCGCGGGUAAGACCGCGUGGAGGCCCGAACCCACUUAGGUUGAAGACUGAGGGGAUGAGUUGUGGGUAGGGGUGAAAGGCCAAUCAAACUCCGUGAUAGCUGGUUCUCCCCGAAAUGCAUUUAGGUGCAGCGUCACAUGUUUCACAUCGGAGGUAGAGCUACUGGAUGGCCGAUGGGCCCUACUAGGUUACUGACGUCAGCCAAACUCCGAAUGCCGAUGUGUGAGAGUGUGGCAGUGAGACGGCGGGGGAUAAGCUCCGUGCGUCGAGAGGGAAACAGCCCAGAUCGCCGGCUAAGGCCCCUAAGCGUGUGCUAAGUGGAAAAGGAUGUGCAGUCGCAAAGACAACCAGGAGGUUGGCUUAGAAGCAGCCACCCUUGAAAGAGUGCGUAAUAGCUCACUGGUCAAGUGAUUGUGCGCCGAUAAUGUAGCGGGGCUCAAGCACACCGCCGAAGCCGCGGCAACGCAGCAAUGCGUUGGGUAGGGGAGCGUCCUGCAUCCGGUGAAGCCACGGAGUGAUCCAGUGGUGGAGGGUGUGGGAGUGAGAAUGCAGGCAUGAGUAGCGAUAAGGCAAGUGAGAACCUUGCCCGCCGAAAGACCAAGGGUUCCUGGGGCAGGCCAGUCCGCCCAGGGUGAGUCGGGACCUAAGGCGAGGCCGACAGGCGUAGUCGAUGGACAACGGGUUGAUAUUCCCGUACCCGUGUGUGAGCGCCCAAUGACGAAUCAUCGGUACUAACCGCCCAAAAGGUGACUAACCGAGUCCUUUUAGGACAAGGGGGUCGCCGGCUGCGCGGGACCUUCGGUGGUAGUAGUCAAGCGAUGGGGUGACGCAGGAAGGUAGCCGUACCAGUCAGUGGUAAUACUGGGGCAAACCUGUAGCGCGAGAUCUAGGCAAAUCCGGAUCUCUUCAUGCGUGAGAGGUGAUGCAUAGCCGAGUGAGGCGAAUUCGGUGAUCCUCAGCUGCCGAGAAAAGCCUCUAGCGAGCACACACACGGCCCGUACCCCAAACCAACACAGGUGGUCAGGUAGAGAAUACCGAGGCGUACGAGUGAACUAUGGUUAAGGAACUCGGCAAAAUACCCCCGUAACUUCGGGAGAAGGGGGACCCCCUGCGGUCAAGGCCCACGCGGCCGGCAGCGGCGGGGGGUGGCACAAACCAGUGAGAAGCGACUGUUUACUAAAAACACAGGUCCGUGCGAAGUCGCAAGACGAUGUAUACGGACUGACGCCUGCCCGGUGCUGGAAGGUUAAGAGGACCCGUUAACCCCUCGGGGUGAAGCGGAGAAUUUAAGCCCCAGUAAACGGCGGUGGUAACUAUAACCAUCCUAAGGUAGCGAAAUUCCUUGUCGGGUAAGUUCCGACCUGCACGAAUGGCGUAACGACUUCUCAGCUGUCUCAACCAUAGACUCGGCGAAAUUGCACUACGAGUAAAGAUGCUCGUUACGCGCGGCAGGACGAAAAGACCCCGGGACCUUCACUA
rnacentral:rRNA from 1 species